ACUCUCGGGGCGCGCGCGCCCAGAGCGCUGGGGUUUGGGAGGUAAUUUGGACCUCCGCCUGCCUCCCUUCCCUCGCUGCCUCCCGGAAUUUGACCAAUCCCGUGAGGAGGAGCCGUGGGCGGGGCGGGCUCGGCUCCCGGAGUGGCGUGAAAAAUUUCCCGAGGCAGAGCGAAAAGUCUUCAUGCGUUACUGAGCAUGUCCGGUGCCCGAAGGGGCGCUUUGGACGCCAGUGAAGCGAGGAGAGGCGGAGAAGGAACCGAGCGGGCAGUUGAGGGAAAUCUCGGAGGAGGUUACCUGCGAUCAAACUGGGGCUGCGUAGUGUUAGGGUCAGGCAGCUUUGAAGUGGAAUCCGGAUCCGCCACUCUCGCUGCGUGAUAUUGGGCAUGCCAUCAAAGCGCUCUCAACCGAACGUCUCGGGUAAAAUGGGAUUAGUGAAGUCUACCAAGGUAGUUGUGAGGAUCAAAAGAGAUAACGCGGAAAACGCCUCACCUGGCACGUUAUAGAUCCUAAAUGCCUAGCUAUUAUUAUGGAGCCCACAACCUCCAUAUUUUACAACUGGGAACACGGGACUCAAAGAGAUUAAAAAACUAAAUGACUCACUCAAGGUCAGGUAGUGGUGGAGACCCAGGCUUCAAGUUCAAUACUCUUUGUCCUACAAAGCCUUCCCUUAAGCAGGGGUAAUAAAACAUUU
rnacentral:lncRNA from 10 species